AUGAACGCUAGCGACAGGCUUAACACAUGCAAGUCGAGGGGCAGCAUGAUAAGUAGCAAUACUUAUUGAUGGCGACCGGCGCACGGGUGAGUAACGCGUAUGCAACUUACCUAUCAGAGGGGGAUAGCCCGGCGAAAGUCGGAUUAAUACUCCAUAAAACAGGGGUCCCGCAUGGGACUAUUUGUUAAAGAUUCAUCGCUGAUAGAUAGGCAUGCGUUCCAUUAGGCAGUUGGCGGGGUAACGGCCCACCAAACCGACGAUGGAUAGGGGUUCUGAGAGGAAGGUCCCCCACAUUGGUACUGAGACACGGACCAAACUCCUACGGGAGGCAGCAGUGAGGAAUAUUGGUCAAUGGCCGAGAGGCUGAACCAGCCAAGUCGCGUGAAGGAUGAAGGAUCUAUGGUUUGUAAACUUCUUUUAUAGGGGAAUAAAGUGUGGGACGUGUCCUAUUUUGUAUGUACCCUAUGAAUAAGCAUCGGCUAACUCCGUGCCAGCAGCCGCGGUAAUACGGAGGAUGCGAGCGUUAUCCGGAUUUAUUGGGUUUAAAGGGUGCGUAGGUGGUAAUUUAAGUCAGCGGUGAAAGUUUGUGGCUCAACCAUAAAAUUGCCGUUGAAACUGGGUUACUUGAGUGUGUUUGAGGUAGGCGGAAUGCGUGGUGUAGCGGUGAAAUGCAUAGAUAUCACGCAGAACUCCAAUUGCGAAGGCAGCUUACUAAACCAUAACUGACACUGAAGCACGAAAGCGUGGGUAUCAAACAGGAUUAGAUACCCUGGUAGUCCACGCAGUAAACGAUGAUUACUAGGAGUUUGCGAUACACAGUAAGCUCUACAGCGAAAGCGUUAAGUAAUCCACCUGGGGAGUACGCCGGCAACGGUGAAACUCAAAGGAAUUGACGGGGGCCCGCACAAGCAGUGGAGUAUGUGGUUUAAUUCGAAGCAACGCGAAGAACCUUACCAGGUCUUGACAUCCCGAUGAAAAACCCGUAACGGGGUUCCCUCUUCGGAGCAUCGGAGACAGGUGGUGCAUGGUUGUCGUCAGCUCGUGUCGUGAGAUGUUGGGUUAAGUCCCGCAACGAGCGCAACCCCUAUCCUCAGUAGCCAGCAGGUAAAGCUGGGCACUCUGUGGAGACUGCCAGGGAUAACCUGGAGGAAGGUGGGGAUGACGUCAAAUCAGCACGGCCCUCACAUCCGGGGCGACACACGUGUUACAAUGGCAUGGACAAAGGGCAGCUACCUGGCGACAGGAUGCUAAUCUCUAAACCAUGUCUCAGUUCGGAUCGGAGUCUGCAACUCGACUCCGUGAAGCUGGAUUCGCUAGUAAUCGCGCAUCAGCCAUGGCGCGGUGAAUACGUUCCCGGGCCUUGUACACACCGCCCGUCAAGCCAUGGGAGCCGGGGGUACCUGAAGUCCGUAACCGCAAGGAUCGGCCUAGGGUAAAACUGGUGACUGGGGCU
rnacentral:rRNA from 1 species